AACCAUAGAAACCUGCGGAGUACCUGCGGAGGGAUCAUUAUAGUAUAUGGAAUCUCCAUUCUAUAAACCCACUCUGCGUAUCUUGUAACUGUUGCUUCCAUGGGACUUGGCUCCGCCACACCGGCUUCACGGCUGGUGAGCGCCCAUGGAAGGAGAAACAAAACUCUUCUUUGAAAUGUAGUCAGUCUGAACAAGUUUUUAUAAACGUUAAAACUUUUAGCAACGGAUCUCAGAUCGGAA
rnacentral:misc_RNA from 1 species